rnacentral:rRNA from 1 species
GGUGAACGCUGGCGGUAGGCCUAACACAUGCAAGUCGAACGGCAGCACAGUAAGAGCUUGCUCUUACGGGUGGCGAGUGGCGGACGGGUGAGGAAUACAUCGGAAUCUACUUUUUCGUGGGGGAUAACGUAGGGAAACUUACGCUAAUACCGCAUACGACCUACGGGUGAAAGCAGGGGAUCUUCGGACCUUGCGCGAUUGAAUGAGCCGAUGUCGGGUUAGCUAGUUGGCGGGGUAAAGGCCCACCAAGGCGACGAUCCGUAGCUGGUCUGAGAGGAUGAUCAGCCACACUGGAACUGAGACACGGUCCAGACUCCUACGGGAGGCAGCAGUGGGGAAUAUUGGACAAUGGGCGCAAGCCUGAUCCAGCCAUACCGCGUGGGUGAAGAAGGCCUUCGGGUUGUAAAGCCCUUUUGUUGGGAAAGAAAAGCAGCAGGUUAAUACCCCGCUGUUCUGACGGUACCCAAAGAAUAAGCACCGGCUAACUUCGUG